AUACGGAGGGGGUUAGCGUUGUUCGGAAUUACUGGGCGUAAAGCGCACGUAGGCGGACUGGAAAGUUGGGGGUGAAAUCCCGGGGCUCAACCCCGGAACUGCCUCCAAAACUUCCAAUCUAGAGAUCGAGAGAGGUGAGUGGAAUUCCAAGUGUAGAGGUGAAAUGCGUAGAUAUUUGGAGGAACACCAGUGGCGAAGGCGGCUCACUGGCUCGAUACUGACGCUGAGGUGCGAAAGCGUGGGGAGCAAACAGAAUUAGAAACCCCAGUAGUCC
rnacentral:rRNA from 1 species